GACGAACGCUGGCGGCGUGCUUAACACAUGCAAGUCGAGCGGUAAGGCCCUUUCGGGGGUACACGAGCGGCGAACGGGUGAGUAACACGUGGGUGACCUGCCCUCAGCUCUGGGAUAAGCCUGGGAAACCGGGUCUAAUACUGGAUAUGACUCCAUGACGCAUGUUGUGGGGUGGAAAGCCUUGUGCGGCUGAGGAUGGGCCCGCGGCCUAUCAGCCUGUUGGUGGGGUGANGGCCUACCAAGGCGACGACGGGUAGCCGGCCUGAGAGGGCGACCGGCCACACUGGGACUGAGACACGGCCCAGACUCCUACGGGAGGCAGCAGUGGGGAAUUGUUCGCAAUGGGCGCAAGCCUGACGACGCAACGCCGCGUGGAGGAUGAAGGUCUUCGGAUUGUAAACUCCUGUUGAUGGGGAAGAACAGGCAGCGACCUAACACGUCGAGGCACUGACGGUACCCGUU
rnacentral:rRNA from 1 species